UCUUGGUCAUUUAGAGGAAGUAAAAGUCGUAACAAGGUUUCCGUAGGUAGAGGUUUGCCUACCGGAGCCCUUAGCCAGCGACUCUAAAGAAAUCAGCUAUAGUCGCCCCUUCGGGGGCUGGCGACGCCAUCAAUCUGUGUCUGGGAGUGCUUUCCAACAGGGGAGCACUACCGGCAGCUCGUUGUAUUUCGAGUUCACAGGUCAAACGAUAGCGGCCACUUCGGUGGUUGAGAUAUGAUCGGCCUCCAGCUGUUACCUAGCUGGGGAGAUUUUGCGGAACCUGCGGAAGGAUCAUUA
rnacentral:rRNA from 1 species